rnacentral:rRNA from 1 species
UACGGAGGGGGCUAGCGUUGUUCGGAAUUACUGGGCGUAAAGCGCACGUAGGCGGCUUUGCAAGUUAGAGGUGAAAGCCCGGGGCUCAACUCCGAAAUUGCCUUUAAAACUGCAUCGCUAGAAUUGUGGAGAGGUAAGUGGAAUUCCGAGUGUAGAGGUGAAAUUCGUAGAUAUUCGGAAGAACACCAGUGGCGAAGGCGACUUACUGGACACAUAUUGACGCUGAGGUGCGAAAGCGUGGGGAGCAAACAGG